CCACCUUAGACAAAGGCUGCUCUCAGGGCCUCACCGCACCUAGGAGCAGGCUUUGAAGGAUCUGCCAAGCUCACUUUUAAUCACGGGAAAAAAAAUUAUCCACAUGGAGUCAGCAGAAAAUGAGAAAGUAGAACUCACGCUGCGAGUAAUUCUAGCAAGUGCCAAGGGGCUAGUUGAGGAAUGGCUUCAUGAGG
rfam:Erinaceus europaeus cont1.526682, whole genome shotgun sequence.